GAAGACUUGGUCUCCUAACCAAAUGAGACGGGGUGCGGGGGAGGGGGUUCGGGGUCGGGGGAGAGAGACUGCUGCGGAACUGGAAAGAUGGGCGCUCGGAGCCGGUGGCAGCGGCGGCUUAUUUACACGGAUACACCACCCCUUUCACUUAGGCUGGACGCCACGUAGCCCUGGGGAAGGGUUUUGCGGACGUACCCGGAACGAAUUCUAAGUUUUUCUCAGCUUUGGGAGGUUGCGCAGGUGGCUUCUGGGAGCCAAGGCAACUGAGGUUUUCCCAGGCUCCUUGAGAGAGUGCCCUAUUUCCCCGGCAGCAGUAGCUCCAGGGUCCCGCUCUGCAGUCCGUAAUGAGAGGCCUCGGGCUCCGCGGGGAAGCGUCGCAGUUGGUGGAAGAGUCCCGAGCAGCAGCAAAUCCGCUCGCUCCCGCGGGGCCGCCGCUCUCGCUCGCACUCUUGCUCUCGGUCCGGGAACCGGAAUGGCCUGGGCCCCCAGCGGAGUGGCCUCAGCCUGGCCUCCCGGAACCAGCCCUGCCGACCCGUUCGCGGUCACGUUCUCCGGAGCGGCCCCCUGCGCCGCGGGGCACCCCCUUCGCCUCUGCCUCCUCGUCCGCCUGUCGCGGCCGCUCCCCGUGCCCCCCCGGGACCGAUAAGCCGUGGGUCUCUGGGACAAGGAGAGGGAGAGGAAAGGCCAUGUAAGGACACAGGGAGAAGUCACCAGUCCGCAAGCCAGGAAAUUUCUACCAGAAAUCAGUCCUGAUCUUGGACUACUAACCUCCAGUAUGUUCAGCUUUGAUGAACACACACCAGUAGAGAUGAAGAGCCGAAGAAAAGCACCACUUCUGUUUCUACUUCAAAAGAAGAAGAAGAGGAAGUCUAGUCAUUCAAAAGAAAGGUCCAAGAAAAAGAGAAAGAAAAAAUCAUCUAAAAGAAAACGCAAGAAGUAUUCUGACAGCGACAGUGACUCUGACUCUGAAACGGACUCCAGUGGUAAGA